AUGGAUGGUGUGCGCUCAGCCAAACACGCCCCAAACGUUUCAGAGGGUUGCAAUGUUUUUCUUGUCCCUGGUCCUUGCCCUCUCUUUCGUCCUCCGUCGUCUCGCCCAUCCCCCUCUCGUCUCCACAGUCCCACACACAAUCAAGCGAGGGAGAAGAACCAAAUCCCCAACCACUCGCCCGCCACCAAGCACGCAGCCGGAGCAAACAGCUCAUGCACCAAGGCCAGUGCAAUAAUAAUCGUCCCGGGCCCACGUCAAGCGGGACCCACAGGACGACCCCUGCACUGCGUCCAAAUUCAAUUCUACUGCAACCAACGAACAAAACAGGACGGACAAAAGCGAAGAGAGAGGAGAGGAGAGAGAGCCCCCAGCCUACAAGCCACCGGCCACCACCAGAUGUGA
rnacentral:rRNA from 1 species